UGACCUUCAAGAACGCGGUCGCUUCGUCGUAGUUCUGCGAAAAGUCUCGUCCUGAAAAGUUCUUAUUAAAUGGCCAGCCGGUCUCUUCUCUUAAUUCCCUGGAGAUAUGGAGAAGCUAAAAGUUAACAGAUUGAUCACGCUCUCUUGGGUUUGCACGAUAUUCAAUGGUUUCCGUGAAAUCAACGGCAUCCCGGAGGAGGUCCUUCCUGAAGGCUAGCGUCCACAUGGAAGAUGGAUUGACGACGACACCCAAGCGCGUCUCUAGGCAGAAGGUCUCGAUUGGGGGACUCCAGUGCCACCACGUGGCCCUGAUGGCACCGAGAGGUUAGCUGAAUCCAGUUGCCUCGAGGGUUUGAUUGCUGGUCACGCGCAGAGGAAUUCGGUUAGGCAAAAUGGAUAACUACAAAACCAUUCGAUGGAAAUCUGUUCCUUCUCAAACAAUUUGAUAUCGGCAGUGGAGGGUUUAUCAUUCAAAACCAUCUUGCAGAGAAAAGGAUAGCUACAAAACCAUUCGAUGGAAAUCUGUUCCUUCUCAAACAAUUUGAUAUCACCAGUGGAUGAUUUAUCAUUCAGCCUCAUCUUGCACAGAUCGAAAAAAGAUUUGGACACUCAACUCCUUUUGCCAGCUUCUGGACACGGAAUGAUGGACAUGAGCUCUGGUCACCGGUUCGAGUUCGACACUAUUGAUGGAAACAGUCUGCUGCCGAAGAAGUGUACGCACGAAAUAGAAGAUGUACUGGAACCAUGUUCCAUUAUGAUUUAUUGCUUUCCACAAAAAUAAAGGAGUAAUAGAA